UACGAAGGGGGCUAGCGUUGCUCGGAAUCACUGGGCGUAAAGCGCACGUAGGCGGAUCUUUAAGUCAGGGGUGAAAGCCCAGAGCUCAACUCUGGAAUUGCCUUUGAGACUGAGUGGCUUGAGUACGGGAGAGGUGAGUGGAAUUCCCAGUGUAGAGGUGAAAUUCGUAGAUAUUGGGAAGAACACCAGUGGCGAAGGCGGCUCACUGGCCCGGUACUGACGCUGAGGCGCGAAAGCGUGGGGAGCAAACAGG
rnacentral:rRNA from 1 species